rnacentral:tRNA from 1 species
GCGCCCGUAGCUCAAUGGAUAGAGCAUCGGACUUCGGAUCCGAGGGUUGGGGGUUCGACUCCCUCCGGGCGCGCCA